rnacentral:rRNA from 1 species
CCUACGGGAGGCUGCAGUGAGGAAUAUUGGUCAAUGGACGAGAGUCUGAACCAGCCAAGUAGCGUGAAGGAUGACUGCCCUAUGGGUUGUAAACUUCUUUUAUAUGGGAAUAAAAUGUUCCACGUGUGGGAUUUUGUAUGUACCAUAUGAAUAAGGAUCGGCUAACUCCGCGCCAGCAGCCGCGGUAAUACGGAGGAUCCGAGCGUUAUCCGGAUUUAUUGGGUUUAAAGGGAGCGUAGGUGGAUUGUUAAGUCAGUUGUGAAAGUUUGCGGCUCAACCGUAAAAUUGCAGUUGAAACUGGCAGUCUUGAGUACAGUAGAGGUGGGCGGAAUUCGUGGUGUAGCGGUGAAAUGCUUAGAUAUCACGAAGAACUCCGAUUGCGAAGGCAGUUCACUGGACUGCAACUGACACUGAGGCUCGAAAGUGUGGGUAUCAAACAGGAUUAGAUACCCUAGUAGUC